UACGUAGGGAGCAAGCGUUGUCCGGAAUCAUUGGGCGUAAAGCGCGCGUAGGUGGCCUCAUAAGUCCGUUGUGAAAGUCAAAGGCUCAACCUUUGAAAGCCGAUGGAUACUGUGAGACUAGAGUACGGAAGAGGCGAGUGGAAUUCCUGGUGUAGCGGUGAAAUGCGCAGAUAUCAGGAGGAACACCAAUUGCGAAGGCAGCUCGCUGGGACGUUACUGACGCUGAGACGCGAAAGCGUGGGGAGCAAACAGG
rnacentral:rRNA from 1 species